rnacentral:lncRNA from 1 species
UUUGUGUUUGUGUGUGUGCAUUGCUUACUUUGUUUAUUGCAUUUAUACUUCAGUUAUUUACUUAAGAAUUGUUUUAUUUCGCUAUACUUAGAAAAAAAGUUUUGAAAAAUCCAAUUCACCUGAUGGGGACAUCAGAGCCCUUCAUCCAGAUGAUCUUGAGCCCCCGGAUUGAGUCAGACCCGUUUAUUUGCAUAUUUAUUUUAUUAUUUUAUUUCUGGGCUUAUUUGCAUUCUAGGGUUUAUUUGUGGUUUAUUUUAUUUCUGGGCUUAUUUGCAUUUUAGGGCUUAUUUGUGGUUUAUUUGUGUUAUUUGUGGGUUUAUUAGGAUUUAUUUCUGUGUAAAGGGGUUUAUGCAAAUUGUGUAUUUGGGCCCUAUAUAUAGGGAACUAUUUUCAUGAUUAGGGUUUAAUGAAGAAUUAAGAAAUUUUCUCCCCACCUAUUCUCCUCCUCUCUUCUUCUCUUCUUCCUCUUCUCCUCCUCCUCCUCUUUCUCUUCUCCCUCUUCUUCUGUUCUGAUUUAAAAUCCCACUGAAGUUUUCCUCCAAAAUUGGUGCGGCAUCAACUUGGUAUCAGAGCCACGGCUUUGCCCCUGUUGCAAAAGCCUCGAUCCCCCCUUUUCUCGUCCCCCUCUCGGUUCUCACACAAAGAAUAGAAGGAGAGAAACCCCUGCGCCAGACCCUCCCCACCCGUCAUCGCACCUGAGCCCGCCGCCGCCCUCAGUCGCCGCCGCUGCCUCCCCCACCUCGCAGGCCGCCGCAUCCCCACGGAAGGCACCGCCAAAAGCAGAGUCCGUCAUCAACAAACACCAUUUACUGUUAGCUGUGGCCACCCUGUGGGCCUCAGGCUUUACAGAAGAAAGACACACAAAAAAAACAAAAAACAAAAGAAUAGAAGAAGACGGGUUUGGACGCCCCAUCCAAAGCCCCUCUCGUCCGGCUGAGGUGGGGUUCCUCGCUUCCCUGGCCUCGAUCGGAACCCAAACCGACGACACCCGAGGAAGAAGGCCGGCGAUCGGGCGCGAGAAGAAGAAGAAUACGCCCGAUCUCGUGUAACCCGACGCCCCCUUUUUCCCCGCCCCACCGUCGCAGCCGAGCACGCCGCCACGUUCUCCCGUCGUCGUCCGCGAGCGAAGCACGGCGGAGAGGAGCCGAACCCACCGCCCCAUCAUCUUCUUCCGCCGCCGCAGCCCCAUCCCGCAGGCCCAGCCGCGAAGAUCGGCACGCCCUUCCGAACCGUCGGGAGAUUGAAGACGGACUGCGCUUCACGGGUAAGAUCCCAAACCCGAAAACCCACUAGCCCGGGUCCGUUCCAAAAAAAAAAAAUUCGUAGGAUCACGUGACCUGCACGUGUCCCACAAAAAAAAAAACACUCGUUACCUUUGUUUCUACCGAAGGGAAACCCUAGGGGUUUCCGCCGCCUUCGCUGCCUCCGCCCGUGCCGCUCCGCCUCCGCCCGUGCCACUCCGCCUUCGCCGCCUCCACCGUGCCGCCUUCUGCUGCCGCCGAGAUCCGCCAUCGCCCGAGCCCCGUCUUCUCCCUCCCCACCGAGCCGCGCCGCCCGAGCCCAAGCCACCUCCCGCCGCCGCUGAAGCUCGCAUGCCGCGCCACCACCGCCUCUGUCGCGCCUUCACCGCCUCCGCCGUUGCGCCCGUGCCCUCUUCCUUCCGCCGCGCUCCACCAACUACAUCUUCUCCCUUCCGCCGCCACGCUCCAACCCAUCCCCACUCCCUCAUUCAAUUUGAGGGCCCAACAGGCCCUUUCUUACACGAGCCCCAUCACCCUCCCCUCAACAAGGCCAUACCACCCCACCCUCCUUUCUUCAUUACACGGGCCCAACUGCAGCCACAGGCUUGCAGACCUUUCACGCUCACACUGUACAACUACUAUAGGCCCACAGCAGCAUCCUCUUAGUGUCCAUUUCAACUGAACAGCUCGGAUUCAACAAUCAGCCCUCACUAAGUGUCGGCAUUGUCAUCGUCUCCACUGCUUGGGAAGCCACGAGCAAACGAUUUUGGUCGACUACUUCACGACAGGUGAUAGGUUUCCAUUUUUCUUGGGCUUGUUCAUUUAAUUAUGUUCUAGUCCUCUUGCAUGAUAGCCACAUUUUGAAAACUUAUAUUGCUGUCACAAUUCAGAACAUUGAACCUUUCACUUCCGAACCCACCCUAUUACCCAUUAAAUCUUGAUAUUAAAUUAGCACACCUUAGUAACAGGACGUUUCUCAAUAUUAUUCGACCAGAUUACUUUAGGAUCAGAACAACUGUACUACUUGAUUGCAAUCUAAUUUCUUAAAUUGAAUAAUCUUAAUCCUUAAUUCUGAAUAACCGAAGUAAAAAAAUCAGCAACAUUUAAAUUUUAAGUUAUUCUUGUAAAAACUUGCUGAUUUCUGAAAUCAUAAUAGAUUGCAUUAGUAGGUUGUCCUGCAUCAAAUUUGGUCCUGCAUCAUAUUUAUUAGGGUUUCAUUAGUGACACUGCAUUUCACAUCAUCACCCAGUGUCAUCAUUGCAAGCCAACCUAUAGUGAUAUGGAGCACUAUCUCAAUCAACCUAAAACCCCUAUAGCUACCAUGAAUUCCGACAUUUUGAGGUCUCUCCUAGAACAGAUCGUUGCCAUGCGGGCUGGAUGCAAGAAAUUCAAACAAGAGAUCCGUGAGCUCAUUCAAAAUUCUAGGACCCCUACGCCGCCAACCCCUAUUGCAGCCCAACCUAAAAUCGAUUUGGUUGCACCACCUGUAAUCCUUUCCCAUUUUCUUGGGCACCAAACCCGAUGCUCAAGGUGUCAACAACUCGACCACAUAGCAUCCCAAUGUUCCAUUAGAACCUACCUGAUUACUGAACCAGAAGUUAGGAGCCAAGAGGUCGAAUAUGUCAAAGAAGUCUAUGAACCAAAUAUAGAAGACUUUGAAGAUGAACCUACAGAAUUAGACUUUGUCCAAAAUGAUUCCCAAAGGGAGACUAUUGAUCUAAGUACAACCAAGCCACUUCACAUCACUACUAUCGAAGAAGUAGUGAAAGAUAUUGAGAGCCAGUCACCUGAGUUGGCACUUGUAGCUAAAGAUACCCAUGCGGAGUCCAACCUUGAACAUUCCCCGGUAGUAGUUUCCCUUCUAGAGGAGUUUCAUUUUGUAGUCCCUGAUGAUCUUCUGGAUGCUCUUCCUCCGAUGCGUGAUAUCCAACACGCAAUUGAUAUAGUUCCCGAGGCAUCUUUGCCCAACCUUCCACAACAUAAGCUCAACCCAAGUGCAUAUGCUAGGAUCUAGGAUUUAAUAUUACCGACAGUUGAGUUUGCAUAUAAUAGUUCAGUUAACAAGUUCAUAGGUAUGAGUCCAUUCGAAGUGGUGCAUGAUUACAAACCUAGGCAACCCAUAAACUUGUUUUUCAUGUCUCAUCAGUAUAGAGUCGUUGAGUCUGCACAAUCAAUUGUAUCACAUCCAUAUUCAUUGCAUCAAGAAAUCAGCAAUUGUAGUUACUUUAAUAACUUAAAAUAUAAAUUUCUUGCUGAUUUACACAAACGUUAUAAAGAGUUAAGUGAAAGAGAUUACGUCAUUAUAAGAAUUAGGUUUGAACGACUUUCUUUGGAGACGUUUAAGAAAUUGCAAACUUGUAGUGCGGAACCGUUCAAAAUCUUAAAGAAAAUCAGUUCGAAUGCAUAUGUUGUGAAUCCUUCUGAUGACUAUGGAAUUAGUGUGACAUUUAAUAUUGAAGAUUUAGUCCCAUACAAAAAGACAAUAUUCAUGCCUUCUGACCCCUUUAUUGAUAUACCUGCCCAUGUUGAACACCCUGGCCUAUUACCUGCUGUUGAGCCACCACCUCCCAAAUUUCAUGCACGCAGAGAACAAAUAGAACAUAUAUUGGAUGAGCAGGUUAUUUCAACUAGGAAUGGUGGUUACCAACGUUACCUUGUUCGGUGGAAAGGUCGACCAAAGUCCGACGUGACGUGGAUUUCCAGAGCCCAGCUGCAGCGCCUUGACCCCGAUCUUCUGGAGCAGUACGAUAGCCGGCCAGACAUGUACUCGACGGGAUCGAGUUUCUCUCACCUAGGAGGAGUUGAUAGGGACAUCAGAGCCUUUCAUCCAGAUGAUCCUGAGCCCCCGGAUUGAGUCAGACCAAGAUUGGGUCCAUUUGAGUCCGAGCCAUUUUCUUUUAUUGCAUUAUUUACUUUUUUCUUAGUCAAGUUAAUUUGGUUCGUUAUUUUGUUGUUAGACUGGUCAAUUGGAUUUAUGUAAUUGGGUCAAUAUGUAAGGUCUAUAUAAAGACCACCCCUCUCAUGUAUAAGGGAACUGACGAUUGAAUGAGAAAACCCUAGCUUCUUUCUUGUUCUACUUCUUCCUCCUCCUCCCCUUCUCCUCUUCAUGCAUCCCUACAACCUCUUCUUUCUUCUCCCUCUCUUGUUCUUCCUCUUCUCCUCUUUCCCCACAGUUGUGCUACAUCAAGGGUUGGCAGAGGCACUCAUUAUCUAUGAUGGGGAGGAUUACUUUGGUUCGGUCAGUCCACUCUUCGAUCCCUACCUCUACUUUCCACUUCCUUCAUCCCAGUGGCGGUUCUGAGGACCAUUGAGCAGCUUCUUAGAAGUUUCAUCUGGGGGAGGCAAGGUGGUAGAGAUGGUAUUCAUCUGCUGGCAUGGGAGGUGGUGUGUCAGCCGACUAGAUGUAGAGGUUUAGGGGUGCAGUCAUUACUGGAGAGGCGGGAGGCUUUAGCGGCGCGCCAUGUUGCUAGAUUUGUUAUGGAGCCUGAUAGCAUGUGGUCCUCGCUGUUGAGGGCUAAAUAUGGAGUUUUGGUGCCCGGAGUGAGAGCAGCCCGCCACCACUCUCCGAUGUGGAGGGAGAUGUGCGCCAGAGCGGGGGUGGUAUUGCUGGAUAUCAGAUGGGCUGUUGGCGACAGACGCUCGAUCGAUGUAUUGGAGGAUUGUUGGGUGACCGCGUGGCCGAUCAGCCGUCUGCCGACCAUGGUGGAUUCGGGACGCUUAGCGGGUUGUAGAGUCAGCGACCUGAUGAUCCCAGAUGAGGGCAGGUGGAGGAUGGGGUUGGUCCAGGAGGUGUUUGGGGAGCAGCUGGCAGAGAUGGUCCUGGCUCUCCCGGUGCCCACCGGGGGGGAGUUUGACAGGCUGAUCUGGGUGCCGUCGGGACGGUCGUAGGUGCGAGCUAAAGAUCUCCAGGCUCUUUUCAGUGGGGAGCCAGUCAGGCAAAUUGAGGGAGGGUGGAUCUGGAGGAUGCGGAUUCAUCCGCGGGUGGCACUUUUCAUCUAGAAGGUGGCUUGGGGCUGCCUACCUACCAGGAGUGUGCUAGUUAGGCGGGGUGUGCGGAUCUCUUAGUAUUGCGAGAUGUGUUUAGGCGCUGAGGAGACCAUCGGGCAUGCUUUGGUGCAGUGUCCCAGGGCUAGGGAGAUAUGGAGGAGGUCACCUGCCCCUCUUUCUUGUUCGGUGGAGUCGGCACAGGAUUUGUUACAUCUGCUGAGAGUAUUUGUGCGGAGCACUAGGUUUGCUCAGGCGGGGAUACUUAGAUUAUAUCUGGCCUACCACAUUUGAUUGGACCGGAAUGCGCAAUUGUUUGAGGGCAGGAGGUUCUCGGCGAGGAUGGUGGUGGAUAGAGCUGUGCUUCAAGCCGGAGAGGUUUCCUCCUGUCUCGACUUAUGUUUUCUUAGGAUGGCCAGGGACAUCUGGGGUACUCAUUAUGCUGUUUCAGCGCCUAGGUUUGUCGUUGCUUUUUGGGUGCCGCUACCCCUCGGUUAUCUCAAGGUGAACUUUGAUGGUAGCGUGGCAUUGGAUGGAAGGUCCGGAGGGGUUGGAUUUGUCAUCAGAGAUCACCUUAGGCGUCUGGUUGCAGCGGGUGGCCGGUGUACGCCAGGGCUCACAGUAGUUAUGGCUGAGUUGUGGGCAGCUUGGGAGGGCGUAUCCUAUGCGAGGCGGGUGCUCGGUGUCGGGUGGGUGCAUCUCGAGGAGGAUUCAUCUAUAGUUAUCGAUUGGAUCCGGGCUGCGGACAGGUAUGGUGAUGGUCAUCCUCUUAUUCGUAAGACUUGCAAGCUGGCUUUGGAGAUGGACGAGUUUGAGGCAAUACAUGUAUUCCGAAAGGCGAACAGAGCAGCAGACUGAGUCGCCUCUUAUGUUGCACGGCAUUCCGGAGAGAUCUGCUGAACUUCCACUGUAGAGCUCCUGCCCUCAUUAUAUUUUUUGCUUUCUUCUGAUCUAGCAGGAUGUACUCAUGUUAGAGCUAUAUGAAUUGCCGCUUUCACCAAAAAAAAAAGCUGCUUUGGAAAUAGAUAUUAUUAUAAAAAUUAAAUUUCUGAUAAUCAUGUGAUAUGUAACAAUUAUAAAAAUAGUUUAUGACCCUUGAUAACUUUAAUCUUUGACAAUUAUCUCUUAAGCAGUUAAUCAGUAAAUAAAGUUAUUUACGCUUUCCAUUCAGUCCUUUCUGAACUCACUGAUUGCAAGCGGUCUUCCUGAUUAGUACUCAAUAUCUAUCACUAAUACCAUCUUAUAAAAAAGUGAAAGAAUGACUAUGGAAAAAUCCAACGUAUGAAAGAAGUAGGAAAAAAAAAAAGGAACCGAAGGACGUUGCAAUUAUUUCAUACUAUUGAAAUUUUAAUAUGAUAGUCUAUCUUUUUAGCCUCUUGGCUGGAUAAAGUUAUUCUUUUUUUUUAUAUAUAGACUAUAGUAUUUAGUUAAUUUGUUGAAAAUUUUAUAUUAUCCAUUCUAUAAUCAAUAUCCAAAUUUCAGCUAUUUUAAUAUCAAGCUUGAUUUUUGUUUUUUACAACAAUUUUCUGCCACGUUGUUGUGCAUCAUUUUUUUCACAGGCACCAAGGAAACUGUGGCGGGACGCUGUACGCCAGGACUUACUGUAGCUGGGGUAGAGCUGCUAGCAGCUUGGAAGGAUAUAUCCUAUGCAACGCAGGCUCUUAAUGCCGAACGGAUGUACCUCAAGAGGGACUCAUCAAUGGUGAUCGAUUGGAUUCUGGAUGCGGACAAGUAUGGAGAUGAUCAUUCUCUUAUUUGUGAGAUUCGUAGGCUGGUUAUGGAGUUGGACGAGUUCCAGACGGUACAUGUGUUCUAGAAGGUGAAUAGGAUAGCAGACUGGAUUGCGUUCCAUGUUGUGCGGCAUUCCAGAAAGAUCCUUUGGACAUCCGCAGUAGGUUUACUGUCUUCAUUGUAUUUUUUAUUUUUUUGUGACUUGGCAGGAUGUACUCGUGUUAUAGCUAUAUAAAUUGCUGUUUUCACCAAAAAUAAAUAAAUAAAUAAAUAAAUAAAAAUUUUAGCGGAUCGGUCGUCGUAUUUUAAGUUCUGGUCGGUAAGCCAUGUGCAUAAAACGGCCAUUUUGAAAAUCGCAUAUUUUAUUGUUGCUUUACGAGCGGCGUAGCAGCUUCUGCCGCAUCACAUGGACAGGCCUGCCCACAUGUGAACAAAAAUCAUAUCAGGCACACACCAUAAAAAAAAAAUGUGGGACAAAACUCCGACGUAACUUUUUAUAUCUACCUUUAAAAAGUAAAUUCAGAAAUCAAAUAGGAUAAAAAAAAAUUUAUUAAUGAAGCCCAUCAAUCCUCUAACUUAAAAAAUAUAUACACUAAGGAAGACUAUGAAUGACCACCUAUAUUUUUUUUCUUUAUCCUCAAGUCUCUCCUUCUAUCCUUUUUCGUACCAAGCCAUAUCUUCCAUCCAUUAGGUCUUUCUUUUUCCUACUCAGUCUUUUUCUUCCUUUCUUUUUAAAACUAUAUAUCGAUUUACCUAAAAAUAUAUAUUGAAAUAUUAGAGGACUAGUUUGCUAGGUAUGUAUCACCUAAUAGUGCAAUAUACCUGUAAAUAUCAUGUUCUGAAAACUAUGUAUUGAUUUACUUGAAGGUAUAUAUUAGGUUGCUACUGUAUGUGUAUUAGAAAUACUUACAGUAUAUAUUAAGAAACUAAGUAUGUAUCACUUGGCUAUUUAGUGUGUAUUGGUAAGUAUCAUAUUUUGAAAACCGUUUAUCGAUUUACCUCGAAGUAUGUAUUGGAAUGUUGGAUGACUACUAGAUGCAUAUCAACUAGCUAUAUGCUAUAUACGGUGAUAUCAUAUUCUGAAAACUAUGUACUGAUUACUAGAAGUAUGCAUUGAGUUGCUACUAUGUAUGCAUUAAAAAAGCUUACAGUAUGUAUCAGAAAGCCGAUAAAUACGUCCACUAAUAAGGAUGAAAGAAAAUGCGACGGUUUUUCCUUGCGCACGGUCCUAUCAACACGUGAAAGCUCUCCUUUUUUAUUUUUGUAAAUUAUAAAAUUGACAAACUCAGUUAGCUGGACAACUUCUAUCCUUAUUUAGCUUCCCGAGUUUGUUCUUUAAAAUAGAUGUAAAAAAAAUGCAGCAAAAAAAGAGUUCUACGAUGCCAUGUCCUAUAUGAUUUUUUUUCUCCCGUGUGCUUGUUUGGAAGCAAAGAUUGCUGAUGGCGAAUGCCUUCACCGCCUGUAGAAAAGUAGCAGGACCGACAUGUUUACGUUGAUUCCCAAUUUCAGCCAACUGGACUUCUAUUUUUUUUAAACUAAAUUUAUGUUUUAAAAAAUAAACAGAAAGAUUUAGCUCAAAUGGCGCAUGUUUUUGUUUUUCAACGAGCACUCAUAUUUAGUGAGUGGGAUGAAGAAGACACGGAGGAGCCCAGGACACUUCGAGGCAUUUUGUUUUCUGAUUUUAUUGAGUGUAUUCGUACUCGUCAUAUAUGAUUUACUCAUCUUAGUAUAAAAAAAAAACAAGAAGAUGAUGCCGAGGGGGCGCAGCGCCUCCUCUUUGCCGGCAUCUGGACCAUGGACGAAAGAGAUGGCCGGAGACUAGAGCGGAAAGCUUGGAGAUUGAUAGACCAGUUGAAAGCUAGAAUGGGAGGAUUCGGCUGGUAGAGCUUGUGGUAAAACUCGUGGAAUAAUGGGAUCCGCCAGCUAGGGAGAGAGACAGAGAGGGAGCAGUGGAAUCGUGGGUCACGCGUUUGUCUUUUAAUGGAAAUUUGGUACGUUGGCGAAAGAUCGAGAGCUUUCUGAAUAGCUGCUUGGGGAAUAGAUAUUUUUAUAAUAUUUAAAUUUCUGAUACCCACGUGAUACGUAACAAUUAAAACUUUGUUUGGAUACUAAAUAGUUUAUGACCCUUGAUAACUUUAAUCUUUGAUAAUUAUCUCUUAAGCAAUUAAUCAGUAAAUAAAGUUAUUUAUGAUUUAGUUAGUACUCAAUAUCUAUCACUAAUACCAUCUUAUAAAAAGUGAAAGAAUGACUAUGGAAAAAUCCAAAGGAUGAAAGAAGUAAGAAAAAAAAAGAACUGAAGGACAUUGAAAUCAUUUCAUAUUAAUAUGAUUAUCUAUCUUCUUAGCCCCUUGGCUGGAUAAAGUUAUUCGUAUUUAGUUAAUUUGUUGAAAAUUUUAUAUUAUCCAUCUUAUAAUCAGUAUUCAUAUUUCAGCUACUUUAUAUCGAGCUUGAUUUUUUGUUUUUUACAACAGCUUUCUGCCACGUUUUUGCGCUUCCUUUUUUCACGGACACCAGUGAAUCUGUAGCGGAUUCGUCGUCUGACGGAUAUGGUAUUUUAAGUUUUGGUCGGUACGUCUUGCAUGUGUGAACAAAAAUUUUUCAAAUCGUACAUUUUAUAGUUGCAGCUUCUGCCGCAUCACAUGGACAGGCUGCCCACAUGGGAACAAAAAUCAUAUCAGGCACGCACCGUAAAAAAAAAUAAUAAAAAAACUUUCUUUUUAACACUUAUAUCUAUUUUUAAAAUAAAAAUUAAAUAGGAUAAAAAUUUUAGUGAAGCCCAUCAGUGCUCUAACUUAAUAAUAAUAAUAAUAAUAAUAAUAAUAAAUUAUACACACAAAGAGAGAUUAUUCAUGAAAAAUGACCAUCUAUAUCCUUUUUUUCCAUCAAGCUUCUUUUUUAUCUUUUUUUCUUAUCAAGUGGUAUCUUCUAUCCACUAAGUCUUUUUUUCUCCUUUUGAGUUUCUUUCUUCUUUUCUUCUGAAAAUUGUAUAUACUAAUCGUGCAAUAUAUUUGUAAAUACGAUGUUCUAAAAACUAUAUAUCACUACAAGAAAAACAAGAUUUGGCGACGCUUUUUAAGACCUUUACCGACGCUUAUCCUUUUCACGCUUUUCAAAGCGUCACCAAAGGGUCGGCUAUGUCAGAGUGGAAAAAAGAAUUGCCGACGCUUCUAGAAAGCGUCGCUAAGUUGGUUUUUAGCGACGUUUGUAGCGACGCUUUUAAGCGUCGCUAAAAACCCAGUUAGCGACACUUUAAAGCGUCGUUAUAAAUAUUUUUUUUUAAAAAAAAUUAAAAAUUAUUUUGAAUCAGAGCCUCGUUUCCUCGAUUCCUCCCCAAUGUCCACCUCCGCGCUCCUCCACCGCCGCACGUCCUCCACCGCCGCCUGCCGAAAAAUCCCCACAUCCACUGCCCCCGUUACCAUAUGAUAUCCUCUCAUCUUUAUAUUCUGCCGUUUCCCGCGGACGCCGCGCGGUGGGAGACGGCGAGCUCAGCAGCGCUGGGGGACUCGAUCACGGGGAACAUGAGGCCCUGGGGGCCAAGAUCGAGGGCCUUCUUGGCGCAGGCGGCAGAGAGCUCCGGAAGGCGGAGGAUGGCCGGGGUGCGGGCGGCGGCGAGGGCGUGGAGGCAAGGGAGGGCCUCGGCGAUGCUGCCAGAGCCAUGCUCCAUGUCGACAACCAUGUAGUCGUAGCCGGCGAGGCCGGCGAUCUCGGGGAGGGUCGGGGAGGAGCGCAGGAGAAAGAGGCCGUAUAGGGUCUCGCCGGCGACGAGGCGGGACUUGAGGAUCCGCGGUUCAGGGGAGAGGGGGGCGAAGUCGGGAUCCAGAAUAGAGCUUCUUCUGGAGCUUGGGAGGGCGGUAGUCGGCCGAGGGCUUGAACACUGGGUUCCGGCGGAUGAGCUGGGAGAUGAAUUCCUGCCGCUCCUUCGUCAGCCACUCCCUUGCUCGAUACUCCCGAGUAUUGAUCCUGAUACCGAUGUUGUCGUAGAUUGGCUCCGGAGAGGGGGAGCGGGCGCCCUCUGGCCGGUCGUCGAGGGGCAUGCCGGAUUGAAGAAAUAGGUUGAUUUCAAGAAGCCUUAAGUUGAGCGCCUGGACUUCGGGGUCGAGGUCGGCGGCGAACUCCUUCAUGAAGUCAGGGAGCUGGACGACCGGCUUGGGCUCCUCAUCGGCCCACCGGUUCUUUCGCUUUCNNNNNNNNNNNNNNNNNNNNNNNNNNNNNNNNNNNNNNNNNNNNNNNNNNNNNNNNNNNCGGCGGCGGCGGCGGCUAUUGAUCUUCUCCUCCCCGCCGGACACAUCCUUGUCGGUGCCACUGUGGGUCACGGCAGCCAGGCCGUUCUCGGAGACCGGAGGCCUCUCGGCCGCAGCGGCGAGAGUCUGGCCGUCGGCUUGGUCGGGCGGGGGGUAAGGAGGUGGGUUUUCAGGGGUAGGGGGAGGGGGGAAGUGGACGCAGUAGUCGAGGGUUUCGGAAGAAGGAGGAGGGUUUGAGGCGAUGGAUUGGAGGGUUAAAUAGAUGCUUGCAUUCCGUUCUCUUCGAUCUCUGGAAUGGGUUGAGGGAGGAGGGAUGAGAGAGAGAGGGCGGUGGCUUCCGACACCUUUUGAGAGCUCGUUGGCUUCCGACGCCUUUGGAGAGCUGGUUGGCUUCCGACGACGCUAAAAAGCGUCGUCUUAGGCCGGCGACUACACCGACCCUUAUUAGCAUCGUCUGUUGCCGACGCUUGCUAAAAGCGUCGGCAAAUGUUGACGCUAGGCUAAAAAUUGCCGACGUUUUAAAAAAGCGUUGGUAAAAUUUACUUUUUCUGUAGUGUAUUAAUUUACCUGAAGGUAUAUAUUAGGUUGCUAAUGGGUGUGUAUUAAAAAAGCUUGCAGUAUGUAUUAAGAAACUAAGUGUGUAUUACUUGACUAUUUAGUGCAUACUAAUAAGCAUCAUAUUUUGAAAAUCGUGUAUUGGAAUAUUAGAUGACUAUAUUGCUAAAUGUAUAUCAACUACCUAUAUACUAUAUACUAUAUACGGUGAUACCAUAUUUUGGAAGCUAUAUAUCAAUUUAUUUAGAGAUAUAUAUUGGGUUGUUACUGUGUAUGUAUUAAAAAAGCUGACAAUAUGUAUCAAAAAGUUGAUGAAUAUGUCACUUAACAAGGAAGAAAGAAGAUGUGAAGGUUUUUCAUUGCACACGAUCCUUAUCGACACGUGAAUUAUAUAUAUAUAUAUAUAUAUAUAUAUAUAUAUAUAGUAGAGAGAGAGAGAGAGAGAGAGAGAGAGAGNNNNNNNNNNNNNNNNNNNNNNNNNNNNNNNNNNNNNNNNNNNNNNNNNNNNNNNNNNNNNNNNNNNNNNNNNNNNNNNNNNNNNNNNNNNNNNNNNNNNNNNNNNNNNNNNNNNNNNNNNNNNNNNNNNNNNNNNNNNNNNNNNNNNNNNNNNNNNNNNNNNNNNNNNNNNNNNNNNNNNNNNNNNNNNNNNNNNNNNNNNNNNNNNNNNNNNNNNNNNNNNNNNNNNNNNNNNNNNNNNNNNNNNNNNNNNNNNNNNNNNNNNNNNNNNNNNNNNNNNNNNNNNNNNNNNNNNNNNNNNNNNNNNNNNNNNNNNNNNNNNNNNNNNNNNNNNNNNNNNNNNNNNNNNNNNNNNNNNNNNNNNNNNNNNNNNNNNNNNNNNNNNNNNNNNNNNNNNNNNNNNNNNNNNNNNNNNNNNNNNNNNNNNNNNNNNNNNNNNNNNNNNNNNNNNNNNNNNNNNNNNNNNNNNNNNNNNNNNNNNNNNNNNNNNNNNNNNNNNNNNNNCGACAGUCGGCCAGACCUGUACUCGACGGGGUCGAGUUUUUUUCACCCGGGAGGAGUUGAUGGGGACAUCAGAGCCCUUCAUCCAGAUGAUCCUGAGCCCCCGGAUUGAGUCAGACCCGUUUAUUUGCAUAUUUAUUUUAUUAUUUUAUUUCUGGGCUUAUUUGCAUUCUAGGGUUUAUUUGUGGUUUAUUUUAUUUCUGGGCUUAUUUGCAUUUUAGGGCUUAUUUGUGGUUUAUUUAUGUUAUUUGUGGGUUUAUUAGGAUUUAUUUCUGUGUAAGGGGGUUUAUGCAAAUUGUGUAUUUGGGCCCUAUAUAUAGGGAACUAUUUUCAUGAUUAGGGUUUAAUGAAGAAUUAAGAAAUUUUCUCCCCACCUAUUCUCCUCCUCUCUUCUUCUCUUCUUCCUCUUCUCCUCCUCCUCCUCUUUCUCUUCUCCCUCUUCUUCUGUUCUGAUUUAAAAUCCCAC